rnacentral:rRNA from 1 species
GAUGAACGCUGGCGGCGUGCCUAAUACAUGCAAGUCGAGCGAACAGAUGAGGAGCUUGCUCCUCUGACGUUAGCGGCGGACGGGUGAGUAACACGUGGAUAACCUACCUAUAAGACUGGGAUAACUUCGGGAAACCGGAGCUAAUACCGGAUAAUAUAUUGAACCGCAUGGUUCAAUAGUGAAAGACGGUUUUGCUGUCACUUAUAGAUGGAUCCGCGCCGCAUUAGCUAGUUGGUAAGGUAACGGCUUACCAAGGCAACGAUGCGUAGCCGACCUGAGAAGGUGAUCGGCCACACUGGAACUGAGACACGGUCCAGACUCCUACGGGAGGCAGCAGUAGGGAAUCUUCCGCAAUGGGCGAAAGCCUGACGGAGCAACGCCGCGUGAGUGAUGAAGGUCUUCGGAUCGUAAAACUCUGUUAUUGGGGAAGAACAAAUGUGUAAGUAACUAUGCACGUCUUGACGGUACCUAAUCAGAAAGCCACGGCUAACUACGUG